GAUGAAGAACGUAGCGAAAUGCGAUACGUAAUGUGAAUUGCAGAAUUCAGUGAAUCAUCGAAUCUUUGAACGCAUAUUGCGCUCUCUGGUAUUCCGGAGAGCAUGCUUGUUUGAGUAUCAGUAAACACCUCAACUUCCAUAUCUUUUUUGAAAUGGGAGUUGGACUUGAGUGAUCCCAACGCUUUUCCUCACCGAAAAGUGGCGGGUUACUUGAAAUGCAGGUGCAGCUGGACUUUUCUCUGAGCUAUAAGCAUAUCUAUUUAGUCUGCCUAAAGAACAGAUUAUUACCUUUGCUGCAGCUAACAUAAAGGAGAUUAGUUCUUGUGCUGACUGAUGCAGGAUUCACAAAGACAGGCUUCGGCCGACUUUGUAAACUCGAUCUCAAAUCAAGUAAGACUACCCGCUGAACUUAAGCAUAUCAAUAAGCGGAGGA
rnacentral:misc_RNA from 1 species